AACGAACGCUGGCGGCAUGCCUAACACAUGCAAGUCGAACGAGACCUUCGGGUCUAGUGGCGCACGGGUGCGUAACGCGUGGGAACCUGCCCUUAGGUUCGGAAUAACUCCCCGAAAGGGGUGCUAAUACCGGAUAAUGUCUUCGGACCAAAGAUUUAUCGCCUUUGGAUGGGCCCGCGUUGGAUUAGCUAGUUGGUAGGGUAAAAGCCUACCAAGGCGACGAUCCAUAGCUGGUCUGAGAGGAUGAUCAGCCACACUGGGACUGAGACACGGCCCAGACUCCUACGGGAGGCAGCAGUGGGGAAUAUUGGACAAUGGGCGAAAGCCUAAUCCAGCAAUGCCGCGUGAGUGAUGAAGGCCUUAGGGUUGUAAAGCUCUUUUACCCGGGAUGAUAAUGACAGUACCGGGAGAAUAAGCCCCGGCUAACUCCGUG
rnacentral:rRNA from 1 species